UACAGAGGUCCCAAGCGUUGUUCGGAUUCACUGGGCGUAAAGGGUGCGUAGGCUGUCGGGUAAGUCUGACGUGAAAUCUCCAAGCUCAACUUGGAAAUGGCGUCGGAUACUAUUCGGCUUGAGGAGUGGAGGGGAGACUGGAAUUCUCGGUGUAGCAGUGAAAUGCGUAGAUAUCGAGAGGAACACCAGUGGCGAAGGCGAGUCUCUGGACACUUCCUGACGCUGAGGCACGAAAGCCAGGGGAGCAAACGGG
rnacentral:rRNA from 1 species